UCUCGAAUCAGGUAGGACUACCCAGCUGAACU
rnacentral:rRNA from 1 species